rnacentral:lncRNA from 1 species
GCUCGUAUGCAUUUUUAUUGCGUUUUAGAAUUCGUUUAUAUUUUGUAGUACUGUGGUUCUAGUCUGUGUUUUGUUGUGCUGCGCUGGUUUGUAAUUUUUUAUGUGCACUUCUAGUUCGUUUUGUUGUUCAAUAUCACUUGCAUUGUUAUGGUUGUGUCGUACUCGUUUACAUUUAUGUUGUUGGGUUGUCACACUAUGCUGAUAAUUGAGUAGAAAGCGAUGUACAAGAUGGUUUAUUCAGUUGCAUGAUGCAACUGAAUGUUGG